rnacentral:rRNA from 1 species
UACGAAGGGGGCUAGCGUUGCUCGGAAUUACUGAGCGUAAAGCGCACGUGGGCGGAUCUUUAAGUCAGAGGUGAAAUCCCAAGGCUCAACCUUGGAACUGCCUUUGAUACUGGGGAUCUUGAGUCCGGGAGAGGUGAGUGGAACUGCGAGUGUAGAGGUGAAAUUCGUAGAUAUUCGCAAGAACACCAGUGGCGAAGGCGGCUCACUGGCCCGGUACUGACGCUGAGGUGCGAAAGCGUGGGGAGCAAACAGG